UGCAGCCUGGGUGGAGCCUGACU
rnacentral:miRNA from 1 species